GAUGCUAAAGGGUGAGGCAUGUUCCAUUGAUUCCCCUACAUGGACCAUAUUCCACCUUCUGCCAUUCUACUAUGGAGCAACUCGCAUCCAAGAUUUCAAAGUUCCUAGGAAAAUGAUUCUUAUUUCCGAUCACAAAUCAGCUAUAAUUAAGUUUGCAUUUAUUUUACAGAUGAAGAAAAAUGGAGCACAGAAAUAUUGUUCCUCACCAAAGUUCACAUUGUUUGUCAAAGUCAGAAGUAUUUUUUUAAGCAAGACUUUUGCUUCACUGAGAAACUCUGAACUUUCUGGACUUGCACUCAGGGUGAAGAGACUAGGUCCUGAAUCUUUGCCAGCUUUUUUGAAUGCUUUCAGUAACCCACAAGGCUGAGGGAUUAAUAGUCAUUUGCUACUCUCUAGGAAGUACUUAUACCUGAAAGAAUUUUACUGAACCCUCUUGUCAGCAAAAUCUAGUCUUGAUAAAAUAGUUGAUGAUAAAUGCUGUGGUUCAGCAUUAUUAAAACAGAUGGAGGAAGCUCUGGCCAUUUUGCCAGGUUGUAUGGCUUCCAGAAGGUAAAUACUUAAUGGCUUUUAUCACAAGAAUGGUUCUGCUGGAGAUUGGAAGUAGAGAAAGAGGAGUGUUGUAUUCUGUGAAGAAGCUCUCGUGACAUUUCAGAGGACUGGGGCCUAAUUACAUCUUCUUGCAAAGUUAACAAUGAAGAGCCAUGAGAUUCAGCCCUACUUUCCUGGUGCAAGA
rnacentral:lncRNA from 1 species